GACGAACGCUGGCGGCGUGCCUAAUACAUGCAAGUAGAACGCUGAAGGAGGAGCUUGCUCUUCUGGAUGAGUUGCGAACGGGUGAGUAACGCGUAGGUAACCUGCCUGGUAGCGGGGGAUAACUAUUGGAAACGAUAGCUAAUACCGCAUAAGAGUAGAUGUUGCAUGACAUUUGCUUAAAAGGUGCAAUUGCAUCACUACCAGAUGGACCUGCGUUGUAUUAGCUAGUUGGUGGGGUAACGGCUCACCAAGGCGACGAUACAUAGCCGAACUGAGAGGGUGGUCGGCCACACUGGGACUGUGACACGGCCCAGACUCCUACGGGAGGCAGCAGUAGGGAAUCUUCGGCAAUGGACGGAAGUCUGACCGAGCAACGCCGCGUGAGUGAAGAAGGUUUUCGGAUCGUAAAGCUCUGUUGUAAGAGAAGAACGAGUGUGAGAGUGGAAAGUUCACACUGUGACGGUAUCUUACCAGAAAGGGACGGCUAACUACGUG
rnacentral:rRNA from 1 species